rnacentral:rRNA from 1 species
CUCGUAGGCGGCUUCCUAAGUCGGUGGUGAAAACCUGUGGCUCAACCACAGGCCUGCCCCCGAAACUGGGAAGCUUGAGGCUGUGAGGGGAGAGGGGAAUUCCUGGUGUAUCGGCGAAAUGAGUUGAUAUCAGGAGGAACACCCGUGGCGAAGGCGCCUCUCUGGCACAGUACUGACGCUGAGGAGCGAAAGCGUGGGGAGCAAACA